ensembl:snRNA U6 U6 spliceosomal RNA
GUGCUCCUUACGCCAGCACAUAUACUAAAAUUAGAUCAAUACAGAAAAGAUUAGCAUGGGAAAGGAUGACACGCAAAUCCGUGAAGCGCUCCAUAUUUUU